rnacentral:lncRNA from 1 species
GGUCGAACACUGGAGGGGUGGUGUGAGUGUGACAGUAGUUGUUCUCAGAAGACAGGUCAGUGUGUGUAGAGAGAACACGUUUGACCAGGUAGUCAGGCUUCUACUUCAUCGGCCUGGACCAGUACACCAAAGAGGCGGAGGACGCCAAGUUUGGACCAAUUAUGCUGAUGCCCCACUGUAAGAACCUGGAGAUCUGUACUGGUUCUGAGGGAGGUGACGUGGCCACAAACAGUGCCUGAGACAUUCCGGCGCCCGGGUCACCUUCCGGCGACUGGGACACCUUCUAGUGCUACUGUUGACUAGAGCAGGGGGUUCCCAAACUUUUUCACUUGGGGCCCCCCUUCCAGCAUUGGGGAACAUCCCACUCCCGCAGGCGUGCACACACACCAUGUCUAUUUCUAUGGACACAAGCACUGUUCAUGACACAAACUGUUCACACCCUUCUUGUUGUUGGAGAGAAUUUUGCAGCUGACAUGGGCUAGUUCAUCUGGACACUUCUGACAAGUUAUAAAUAGCUCUCUAAGGGGAGGGGCACAGUUUGGGAACCACUGGUCUAGAAAACAGCCAGAGGGUGGUCAAGACGUCUGCUGCAACUUCAUUUUUAGUAUGUCAGCUCUGUUGCACCUGGGAGCUAAAGGUAUGGCACCACACUCCCAACAGUCAUGUAUACUUAAACAUACUUGUAUGCUUAUUUAUGGAUUUCUUAAAGUGGCAAUACACACCAGUUGAAACAAUAACAAAGCGUGCUCCCUGCCCGUUUUGGUAAAAUGCUGAGGGAUGGGUCUGGAGAAAUGUAACCACUCUCAAAUUCAUAGACAGAGCUAUGGUGUCACACCCUGAUCUGUCACCUGUCUUUGAGCUUGUCUCCACCCCUUUCCAGGUGUCGUCCAUCUUCCUUAUUAUCCCCUUGGUAUUUAUAUCUGUGUUCUCUGUUUGUCUGUUGCCAGUUCGUUUUGUUUGUUAAACCUACCAGCGUACGUUCCCCUGCUCCUGUCUGUUUCUUGCUCCUGUUUUCUAGUCCUUCCCGGUUUUGACCGUUUUGCCUGCCUUGAGCCUGCCUGCCAUUCUAUACCUUGCCCCACCUCACUGGAUUAUUGACCCCUGCCUGCCCUGAACUUGAGGCUGCCUGCCGUUCUGGACCCUUUGCACCCUCUCUGGAUGACUGACCC